CUUUCGAUAGCUCAGUUUGGCAGAGCGGGGGACUGUAGUUGUUGACAGAAAUCAUCCCUAGGUCACUGGUUCGAUUCCGGUUCGAAGGA